rnacentral:rRNA from 1 species
GACGAACGCUGGCGGCGUGCUUAACACAUGCAAGUCGAACGGAAAGGCCCUGCUUUUGUGGGGUGCUCGAGUGGCGAACGGGUGAGUAACACGUGAGUAACCUGCCCUUGACUUUGGGAUAACUUCAGGAAACUGGGGCUAAUACCGGAUAGGAGCUCCUGCUGCAUGGUGGGGGUUGGAAAGUUUCGGCGGUUGGGGAUGGACUCGCGGCUUAUCAGCUUGUUGGUGGGGUAGUGGCUUACCAAGGCUUUGACGGGUAGCCGGCCUGAGAGGGUGACCGGCCACAUUGGGACUGAGAUACGGCCCAGACUCCUACGGGAGGCAGCAGUGGGGAAUAUUGCACAAUGGGCGGAAGCCUGAUGCAGCAACGCGGCGUGCGGGAUGACGGCCUUCGGGUUGUAAACCGCUUUCGCCUGUGACGAAGCGUGAGUGACGGUAAUGGGUAAAGAAGCACCGGCUAACUACGU